rnacentral:misc_RNA from 1 species
GGAAUGGGAGGGGUCGGUAAAACCUCUCUGGUGAAAGAAAUUGCCAAAAGGGUUGAACAAGAUAAGCAUUUUGAUGCUGUUGUGAUGGCCGUAGUGUCACAAACUGUUGAUGUAAUAAGGAUUCAGGAUCAGAUAGCAGAAAUGUUGGGUUUAGAUUUCAAGCAGACAAGAACCAAAGAAGGAAGAGCAAGGUUGUUGCAUACUAGACUGUAGGAAAUGAAUAAAAUCCUCAUUAUCUUGGAUGAUAUUU